rnacentral:rRNA from 1 species
UGCAAGUCGAGCGGUAGAGAGAAGCUUGCUUCUCUUGAGAGCGGCGGACGGGUGAGUAAUGCCUAGGAAUCUGCCUGGUAGUGGGGGAUAACGUUCGGAAACGGACGCUAAUACCGCAUACGUCCUACGGGAGAAAGCAGGGGACCUUCGGGCCUUGCGCUAUCAGAUGAGCCUAGGUCGGAUUAGCUAGUUGGUGAGGUAAUGGCUCACCAAGGCGACGAUCCGUAACUGGUCUGAGAGGAUGAUCAGUCACACUGGAACUGAGACACGGUCCAGACUCCUACGGGAGGCAGCAGUGGGGAAUAUUGGACAAUGGGCGAAAGCCUGAUCCAGCCAUGCCGCGUGUGUGAAGAAGGUCUUCGGAUUGUAAAGCACUUUAAGUUGGGAGGAAGGGUUGUAGAUUAAUACUCUGCAAUUUUGACGUUACCGACAGAAUAAGCACCGGCUAACUCUGUGCCAGCAGCCGCGGUAAUACAGAGGGUGCAAGCGUUAAUCGGAAUUACUGGGCGUAAAGCGCGCGUAGGUGGUUUGUUAAGUUGGAUGUGAAAUCCCCGGGCUCAACCUGGGAACUGCAUUCAAAACUGACUGACUAGAGUAUGGUAGAGGGUGGUGGAAUUUCCUGUGUAGCGGUGAAAUGCGUAGAUAUAGGAAGGAACACCAGUGGCGAAGGCGACCACCUGGACUAAUACUGACACUGAG